AUUGAACGCUGGCGGCAUGCCUUACACAUGCAAGUCGAACGGCAGCACGGGAGCAAUCCUGGUGGCGAGUGGCGAACGGGUGAGUAAUAUAUCGGAACGUGCCCAGUCGUGGGGAUAACGUAGCGAAAGCUACGCUAAUACCGCAUACGAUCUAUGGAUGAAAGCGGGGGAUCGCAAGACCUCGCGCGAUUGGAGCGGCCGAUAUCAGAUUAGGUAGUUGGUGAGGUAAAGGCUCACCAAGCCGACGAUCUGUAGCUGGUCUGAGAGGACGACCAGCCACACUGGGACUGAGACACGGCCCAGACUCCUACGGGAGGCAGGCAGUGGGGGAAUUUUUGGGACAAUGGCGCAAGCCUGAUCCAGCAAUGCCGCGUGCAGGAUGAA
rnacentral:rRNA from 1 species